GACCAUCCUCCAAGGCUAAAUACUCCUGACUGACCGAUAGUGAACCAGUACCGUGAGGGAAAGGCGAAAAGAACCCCUGUGAGGGGAGUGAAAUAGAACCUGAAACCGUGUACGUACAAGCAGUAGGAGCACCUUCGUGGUGUGACUGCGUACCUUUUGUAUAAUGGGUCAGCGACUUAUAUUCAGUGGCAAGGUUAACCGUAUAGGGGAGCCGUAGCGAAAGCGAGUCUUAACUGGGCGCUCAGUCUCUGGAUAUAGACCCGAAACCGGGUGAUCUAGCCAUGGGCAGGUUGAAGGUUGAGUAACAUCAACUGGAGGACCGAACCGACUAAUGUUGAAAAAUUAGCGGAUGACUUGUGGCUAGGGGUGAAAGGCCAAUCAAACUCGGAGAUAGCUGGUUCUCCCCGAAAGCUAUUUAGGUAGCGCCUCGGACGAAUACUACUGGGGGUAGAGCACUGUUAAGGCUAGGGGGUCAUCCCGACUUACCAACCCUUUGCAAACUCCGAAUACCAGUAAGUACUAUCCGGGAGACACACGGCGGGUGCUAACGUCCGUCGUGGAGAGGGAAACAACCCAGACCGCCAGCUAAGGUCCCAAAGUAUUGCUAAGUGGGAAACGAUGUGGGAAGGCUCAGACAGCUAGGAUGUUGGCUUAGAAGCAGCCAUCAUUUAAAGAAAGCGUAAUAGCUCACUAGUCGAGUCGGCCUGCGCGGAAGAUGUAACGGGGCUAAGCAAUACACCGAAGCUGCGGCAAUGUCUUUUAGACAUUGGGUAGGGGAGCGUUCUGUAAGCCGUUGAAGGUGAAUCGUAAGGUUUGCUGGAGGUAUCAGAAGUGCGAAUGCUGACAUGAGUAACGACAAAGGGGGUGAAAAACCUCCUCGCCGGAAGACCAAGGGUUCCUGUCCAACGUUAAUCGGGGCAGGGUGAGUCGACCCCUAAGGUGAGGCCGAAAGGCGUAAUCGAUGGGAAACGGGUUAAUAUUCCCGUACUUCUGACUAUUGCGAUGGGGGGACGGAGAAGGCUAGGUGGGCCAGGCGACGGUUGUCCUGGUUCAAGUGCGUAGGCUUGAGAGUUAGGUAAAUCCGGCUCUCUCUAAGGCUGAGACACGACGUCGAGCUACUACGGUAGUGAAGUCAUUGAUGCCAUGCUUCCAGGAAAAGCCUCUAAGCUUCAGAUAGUCAGGAAUCGUACCCCAAACCGACACAGGUGGUCGGGUAGAGAAUACCAAGGCGCUUGAGAGAACUCGGGUGAAGGAACUAGGCAAAAUGGUACCGUAACUUCGGGAGAAGG
rnacentral:rRNA from 1 species